rnacentral:lncRNA from 1 species
GUCACAAUCCUUCCCAUCUCAAUAUGUGCACUGCAAUGAUUAACUGCAACAAUGGGCUUCUUCCAAAGCUAUGAAAGAACCCCAACAACAAUGGCAGCAACUUGUAAUGGUGCUCCCAUGCCAGGACCCUUGGUGUAACAAAGGCAAUAAAUUUCCUUGGGCGUUAUUUGGGCAGUUUCCAAAGCAGAUUUAAUCAGCGGGUGAAUGAGUUGGAGAUGGUGCGGUGCAGUUUCGAGGGAAGGAGCCCUUGGCCGUGAGGGGUAAUGUAUGUGGUGAGCGAGUUCGACAAAAUUGUUACCCCAACACCAAUCUUGUUGGCUGAACCCUCAAACCCUAGAGCUAUCAUCUUCUUCAUUCUUGUAGAAGGCACACUGUGUAAAUCAAAAGGAAAUUCAAACAAAGUCCAAAAUAUUCGACUCACAAAUACUUUUUAUGAACCUUGUCUGCAAUAUAUUCUGGGUGGCUUAAUUUCCAUGGAACUGGCAAAGUUUGAUCAGUGGAUACGAUUCAAAUGGGCAAAAGGCUCAGGAUCAGCUUUGGGAGCUGGUUUAACCUCCUUAGGGUCUCCAAAAGCAUUCCAUAACUUCAGUGUUUCAUGAGCUGCUGAUGCUACUGUGCAACCAUUUGGGCUCUGAGCCAUAUAAAGGACUGUAGAAGUAUGACCAGUGAGUUCUGCAAUUCUAAACAUUGAUGGGUAUUUCCAAAGAGUAAGCUGAUUCUGAGAAAACCCAUGUGCGCUAAGCAGCUCUCGUUCAUUCAUAUUCCACAGCAAAGCACAAACCUCAGAGCCAGUGUCAACAGAGUUCAGGCAUGCACCUGUGUGAGUGUUCCAGAACUUUAUGCACCCAUCAUCAUUCCCACCUCCACCAGAAGCUAGCAAAUUUCUCUGGAAAGGACACCAAGCAAGGGCUUUUACAGCAGCUGUAUGGUCUUGAAGCCUGUGAAGCCACCGUGUUCGUGAAUAUGAUCUGUUGUCCCAUAUAUGGAGCAGGUUAUCAUUUCCUCCACUUGCUAAUUGCUGGCCCGAAGCCGACCAUUUAAGCCCACAAACUUCUUGCUCAUGUCCUCUGUAUGUCUCAACAACAAUGUGGGAUCCAAUUCUUACAUCAUUGUUAACGAUGCGGCCAUCCAUUCCUCCAGUUGUAAGAAUGUGAUUGUUCCAUGCCAGUGAGCCUACUCCCGAUAGGUGGCAACCUCUCAAGGUUAUCACAUGAGAACUGGCAGCUGUAUCCCAUAGCUCUACUUCGGAAUUGUUCAGUCCAAUGGCAAUCUGGCGUCCAUCAAUAGCCCAGUUGACGCUGGUAACAGGUCCCCUUUCAUCCUCAAAUGUGGCCAGUUCCCAAGUAGAAUCAUCUGUAGCAUCCCACAAAUAAACUUUGUUUGCAAGAGCUAUUGCAAGAACAUUGGAGCUUCCCCAAUCCAACAAAUUAAGGUAGUAAUCAUCUAUAAGGUCGGGAGCAUCAAGUGUUCUGUCUGCACUUUGAGAAAUAUAUCUUCUUCGUGCCUUUGGGGGGUUUGAUUCAGUAGGUUUAUCUGAAGAGAAGUUGCUUGGGAAGAGCUCUACAGGGGGAGGAGUCUUGUUCUUGAAAGCAAGAAUUCUACUGCGGUUCAUGUUCAUGGCCUCAGCCAACUGCUUCCGAUAGCCUACUCCAUAUCUAGGUGGGUUUUCCUUACCUUUCCUAGUACUACUACCCUGAUGAGUAAGCAUGUAAAAUGCAUAAUCAAAGUCCAUGGCGGACCGGUUUGGUAUGAACCGGUCCCAAUUUUCUCGGGAAUUCCUUUUCUGAAGAAGCUGUUGUUCAAGAGGGCACCACCUAGACUGCGACCUCAAGGUACUCAUUGUUACAUUUGCAAAUAUGAAACCCAAAAAUUAAAAAUUAAAAAACACAGAAUAUGAGAGACACAGACAAAUAAACAGGGAGAGAGAGCAGUCAAAAAUCAAUAUAAUUGAAGCAGAUUUUCCUUCAGAACAACCAAAAUCAUAUGCAAACUUCAAAAACCAACUAAGAUCCUGUAGAAACCCUAAGAAAUCAAACUUCAAAAAAAAAAAACAGAGAAUAUGAGAGACACAAAUAAAUAAACAGAGAGAGCAGUCGAAAAUCAGUAUAAUUGAAGCACAACCAAAAGCAUAGACAAACUUCACAAACCAACUAAGCUCCCGUAGAAACCCUAAAUGAAAUCAAAUUUAACUAAAGGCAAUAGAAACGCAGACAGGGCUCAGAUAUUGUCAAUUCAAAAUUUUAGCAGAAAAAUAUACACACAAAAAAACUGAGUCUAACUAACCGAAUUAUCGAUACGACGGGACCUAAAUUGCCUCCGAACAAAGCAUUCAGCUGAGGCUUUCGAUUGGUUUCUUCGUCUGCCCACACUCACCGAUGCUCAAUCAAUUCCACCUCAAUUGUUAGCCCAAAGCGGAAUCGUAAUGUAUUCUCAGAGAUCGAAUCGAAGAAAAUUGAACUCGGGUUUGAUGCUCAAAGAUGUAUAUAUAUGUACGUUCGACGCGUAGAAUACGCAUGGAAUACGCGUAUCCCAUUAGUGGAAUACGCGUAUUUCACGCGUAUUCCACGAGUGAAAUACGCGUACUCGACGCGUAUCAGCUUGAUAGCUACGACCGGCGACAACCUCUCUCUCUCUCCCUCCCUCUCUCCUAGAUGAGUUUUGCUAUUUGAUUACAGGUUGAAAGAAAAAUGGUUAGAAAACAAGAAGCAGACUUACGAUCUGGGUUGCUGAUUUUAUGAAGGUUUUUUUUUUUUUGGUGGUCUGAACAUCAUCACUGCACAUGUCAUGCCUUCGAUUAUUUCUUCAUUCCCGAUCCUGAAAUUAGUAUUUUUAUCAAUGUUGGAGAGUGGAAUUAGAUGGUAUGAAUGCUUAAACUGUUGAAAAUAAUUAAAGGCUAAAAAAAAAAAGAUUUUCUAUUAUUUCAAUCAAACCCAAUUAAUCUAGUUAGUUUCAUACUUAAUUUACUCGUGUAGGCAUUUUUGAACAUUUAAUUCAAGUGAUGGAUAUAAAUAGGUGCUCGUACAUAAACGUAAUGAGAAAAAUGAAAUUUUGAGAUGAUAAAAACAGAAAAACAGGACUCGUUGCACGAGGUUUCUCAUAUAGACCUAGAAUCGAUUAGGAGAAUACAUUCAGAGCUCCAUUUUGGAAGAGUUUACUGUUUAUUGAUCUAAUUUUGGUGAAUUUGAUAAUACAUCUGUCACUAAUUUUAACUUAAAUUUGCAGAAAAUAGAAGAAAUUGUAGUAAGAAUUCUUGCAAACUAAAAUAUUCAAAAGUACCUGUAAUAUAUUCAAGUUCAAAGUACAACCGUAGUACGAGCUAAAGCCCAACAAAACAGUAUCAAUACACUGAUGAUAUUAUGUGCUUCUUGGCCUCGGAAAAUCAUUCCAAUCAAAGUUAAUAAGGCUUGAAAGGACUUUAGCCUUGCCUGAUAAACCUAAUAAAAAACAAUACAUUAAUCUACAGAGCCAAAUAGAGAUCGAAUUGAGGUUGAUGCAUACAGGCUUGAACCUGUCAAUUGGAAAACAUGAAAACAUUGUAAGCAAAGCAAAGAGGAUUUCAUUUCACAUAUAUAUGUUUUUUUAACAUUCGUUUAAGGAAAAGAAAGAUCUCUUCAAACUAUCUUUCAAGUGUAAGGGAGAAAAAUAAAUAUUGUCUUCUAAUCUAACCAUUUUUCUUCCUCAGUCAUCAAACAAUCCUCUAUGAGGAAGUUAUGUGAAGUACUUCACAACUCAUGUGGAAUGAAGAAAUAGGCCAUGUGACAGACUAAUUUGCAGCUGUUUUCAAUAUGAAGUUUGAUGCAGGAGCAGCAGGACAGAAGCUUAUAUACAUGCAUACACAUAUAGACAUACGCAGAAAAACACACACACACAUAAACACGUGCUCACACAUUAACAUACUGUUAUUUUGAUUUGUGUCUUUUAGUGUUAUUUAAUUGGAUUUUCCUUUUGGGAAAAGAAACACAAAGACAAACUUUAUUGAUAAAAAGAAGAAAAAUUACAGGCAUGGACAAGAUAAGUACUCCUUAGGUGCUUAAAGCAGGAAAAGAUAUAAAAAUGAAUAUGAACGAUGUAUUCCUUAGGCAAAGGCUUAGACAAUCAUACUAAACAGUCUUUACAUAGUUCAAUGGUCGGAAACUCAAAGCUAAUUACUCAUGCAAAUAUCUUCCCAGUGUCUUUCUGUACAAGAAACACCAUACCUCAAGAAUUAUAAGAUUUAGGUAGUCUCAUCCAUGAAGCCGUUUAAGUUUUUCUGACUCCUCUUUUAGUCUCCAGAUUGCUUCCACUUCAUCAGUUCGGAAACGUUGCGUAAAAGUAGAUUCCUCAAACAGAGUUGAUGCGCCAUGAACAAAAGCAAGAAGACCAGUAUAAGCAAUCAUGGCACCGUUAUCAAUACAAUACCUAUCAUCAGUUGCAAACAACCUUCCACCCCGUUCAGAGCACAUAGUUCUCAUCAUCUCUUGCAAGCGUUCAUUGCAACCUACACCGCCAACAAUAAGGACAUCUUUCUUGUCACAAUGUGCCAUUGCACGCUCCGUUAUCUCCACAAGCAUUGCAAACACAUUUUCCUGAACCAAAUUAAUAAAAUUAAAUAAAUCAUGUAAGUAGUCCAUCAUUACAGUCAUCAUUCUUCAUCUUUUGCUUGCAGAGAGUUUAUUAAAUUGGAAAUUCUUUGUCGCUCUUUUUUCCUGAUAAGUCCCAUUUGCUGAAACCUAUUUUCCCAUCAAAAUAGCUUUGAUUCCAAAGUUUACCUGGAGUGAGUAGCAUAGAUCUGCAGGGGUGCACUCGCUAUUCUUGAGCUUCUCCACAGCAGUGGCUUCAAUGUAGCUCAAAAUUCCACUAAAAGACACAUCCAUCCCUUUCACAGCAUAAGGAAGGUCUAUAUACUGUUCUCCUUUCUUUGCAAGCUGGGAGGGGAAGGAAUCACACAAGUCAUGAUGGAAGCACUUCCACAAAAUAUUCAACUAAAGCACGGGAUAGAAACGUAGCUCAAAUCAAACAAUAAGAAUAAUAGUGGUAAUAAUGAUGACACUAAUGAUGAUGAUAAUUCAACUUCAAGAGUUAUUACAUAUGGAUUUCUUAUGCCCAUUCAGUGCAAUAAGAUUGACUGCAUCACCUGAUCACCCUAUAAUUUGGCAAACUAUAUGACUCUAGUUUAUAGAGAUGACUAUGAGUUUGAAACCGCCUGUAAACAUUAUGGAACUAAAAAUGUAUUAAAAAGAUAAUCAACUACCCAACCAUGAUGGGUUCACACACUUCAAAUUGAUUCACCAUAUACAGGAAUGCAAUAGGCCACCCACAAUAGAAUAUAUAGAAAUCACAUUGGCAACAUUUUAAAUUUCAAAAAAUGUUCAUAAAAAAAAGUACAGAAAUUAACAACCAACAUUCUCACAGUGCAAGCAGGAAGAAAACUCCAAAUCAGAUUUCUUCAAUUUUAAUAAGAUCUAUGAACAGGUACCAUGUGAAAUAGAUCAUACAAAAUAUGGCCACUCAACCUCUUCUCUAAAACUAGAGGCCACUUACGCAAAAAGGAAGAGGGAAGCCAUUUCACCUUCUAUCUAAAUAAAUGCCACUAGCUCCCAUAUGAUACACUUUUCCUGUUUCGUUUUCUUUUUGGGGUCACAAUAAGAUUUUUCUGAACUACUCUAGUAGAAGAAAAUGCUGAAUCAUAUAAGGUCAAAUAUUAGAAUUAUCCUUUUUCAGACCUUGCAUGUUAAAUCUCUCUUGUUGCCAGAUUGUUGCGUCUUUAUGAUUAAGAAAUCAAAUUCAGUCCAGCCCAAGUUAAACUCCAACAUAGUAACAAGUAAGAACAGCUAGUUCUCAGAUUUCUUGGAAAAAGAAAGGAAAUCUUGAUAAGAUAACAACUUAAAAGGAUUCCACAGAAAAAGAAAAGCAUCCAUGAAUGCCAAUUUCAACCUCCACUGAUUCAAUGGAACAAAACAUACCACAUUCAAAUACCUGCUCAAUGUUAUAUCCAGGGCUUGGGUCAUUGGAGAGUGUUAAUACCCUGGCGAACCGAUCCAAGCAAUUUCCAACAGCGAUAUCAAUGGUCUCUCCAAAGAUUCGAUACCUCCCUUCACUGUAUGCAAUUACCUGUGUGUUCCCACCACUGACAUACAACACAACAGGAUCAUCUGCACCUGUCACAAUCCUUCCCAUCUCAAUAUGUGCAACGCAAUGAUUAACUGCAACAAUGGGCUUCUUCCAAAGCUGUGAAAGAACCCUAACAACAAUAGCAGCAACUUGUAAUGGUGCUCCCAUGCCAGGACCCUUGGUGUAACAAAGGCAAUCAAUUUCCUUGGGCGUUAUUUGGGCAGUUUCCAGAGCAGAUUUAAUCAGGGGGAGAAUGUGUUGGAGAUGGUGUUGUGCAGUUUCGCGGGGAAGGAACCCUUGGCCGGGAGGGGUA